UACGGGGGGGCAAGCGUUGUUCGGAAUUACUGGGCGUAAAGAGCUACGUAGGCGGCUUGUUGCGUCGACCGUGAAAACCCGUGGCUCAACUCGCGGCUUGCGGUCGAUACGGGCGGGCUAGAGUUCGGCAGGGGAGACUGGAAUUCCUGGUGGUAGCGGUGAAAUGCGCAGAUAUCAGGAGGAACACCGGUGGCGAAGGCGGGUCUCUGGGCCGAUACUGACGCUGAGGAGCGAAAGCGUGGGGAGCGAACAGG
rnacentral:rRNA from 1 species